AGUGAACGCUGGCGGUAGGCCUAACACAUGCAAGUCGAACGGCAGCACAGUAAGAGCUUGCUCUUACGGGUGGCGAGUGGCGGACGGGUGAGGAAUACAUCGGAAUCUACUUUUUCGUGGGGGAUAACGUAGGGAAACUUACGCUAAUACCGCAUACGACCUACGGGUGAAAGCAGGGGAUCUUCGGACCUUGCGCGAUUGAAUGAGCCGAUGUCGGAUUAGCUAGUUGGCGGGGUAAAGGCCCACCAAGGCGACGAUCCGUAGCUGGUCUGAGAGGAUGGUCAGCCACACUGGAACUGAGACACGGUCCAGACUCCGACGGGAGGCAGCAGUGGGGAAUAUUGGACAAUGGGCGCAAGCCUGAUCCAGCCAGACCGCGUGGGUGAAGAAGGCCUUCGGGUUGUAAAGCCCUUUUGUUGGGAAAGAAAAGCAGCAGGUUAAUACCCCGCUGUUCUGACGGUACCCAAAGAAUAAGCACCGGCGAACUUCGU
rnacentral:rRNA from 1 species